rnacentral:siRNA from 1 species
UACGCAGCAAGGACGACGAUCUCC